rnacentral:misc_RNA from 1 species
GAUGAAGAACGCAGCGAAAUGCGAUACGUAAUGUGAAUUGCAAAUUCAGUGAAUCAUCGAGUCUUCGAACGCACAUUGCGCCCCCUGGUAUUCCGGGGGGCAUGCCUGUCCGAGCGUCAUUGCUGCCCUCAAGCACGGCUUGUGUGUUGGGCCCCGUCCUCCGAUCCCGGGGGACGGGCCCGAAAGGCAGCGGCGGCACCGCGUCCGGUCCUCGAGCGUAUGGGGCUUUGUCACCCGCUCUGUAGGCCCGGCCGGCGCUUGCCGAUCAACCCAAAUUUUUAUCCAGGUUGACCUCGGAUCAGGUAGGGAUACCCGCUGAACUUAAGCAUAUCAAUAAGCGGAGGA